CCUUUCCUGAGUGCCCAGGAUCCUAGAAUUCUCUUCUUAAUAGACUCCAGCUUGCUGCCAGGACCUGCAUGGGUCCUACCCUCGAGCCUGCCUUCUAAACCUGGAAUCUGGAGUUCAGAGUGUGUGCAAACAGGUAUCAAUCAUCAAAUGGAAGAGAAGCGAUUUAUGGACUACUUGUUGGGAAGGUAGGCAGAAGAGAGAUCCAGAGUUGUCUUUUGACCAUUAAAGGAAAAUGUCCAGGAGGAGAGAAGUUAGAGUGUGUGCUCUCAUACAGCAUCUACAACUUCAAAGACAAAUGCAGAAAACAUUGUUUUAGCCUGGGGGCUAAAAUGCAGCCAUCAUCAUCAUCAAGUUUAUAGAUGACACUAACUGGAAGAAGUGCAGGAGGGAGUUUCAGACAGGAAUAAUUUCAAGGUAAAGACCAGGAGAGAAC
rnacentral:lncRNA from 1 species